rnacentral:misc_RNA from 1 species
GAAAUGCGAUAAGUAAUGUGAAUUGCAGAAUUCAGUGAAUCAUCGAAUCUUUGAACGCACCUUGCGCUCCUUGGUAUUCCUUGGAGCAUGCCUGUUUGAGUACCAUGAAAUCUUCAAAGUAAAUCUUUUGUUAACUCAAUUGGCUUCUACUUUGGUAUUGGAGGUCUUUGCAGCUUCACACCUGCUCCUCUUUGUUCAUUAGCUGGAUCUCAGUGUUAUGCUUGGUUCCACUCGGCGUGAUAAGUUAUCUAUCGCUGAGGACACUGUAAAAGGUGGCCAAGGUAAAUGCAGAUGAACCGCUUCUAAUAGUCCAUUGACUUGGACAAUACUUUUAUGAUCUGAUCUCAAAUCAGGUAGGACUACCCGCUGAACUUAAGC